ACGGGAGGCAGCAGUGGGGAAUAUUGCACAAUGGGCGAAAGCCUGAUGCAGCGACGCCGCGUGAGGGAUGACGGCCUUCGGGUUGUAAACCUCUUUCAGCAGGGAAGAAGCGAAAGUGACAGUACCUGCAGAAGAAGCACCGGCUAACUACGUGCCGGCAGCCGCGGUAAUACGUAGGGCGCAAGCGUUGUCCGGAAUUAUUGGGCGUAAAGGGCUCGUAGGCGGUCUGUCGCGUCGGAUGUGAAAGCCCGGGGCUUAACCCCGGGUCUGCAUUCGAUACGGGCAGACUAGAGUGUGGUAGGGGAGAUCGGAAUUCCUGGUGUAGCGGUGAAAUGCGCAGAUAUCAGGAGGAACACCGGUGGCGAAGGCGGAUCUCUGGGCCAUUACUGACGCUGAGGAGCGAAAGCGUGGGGAGCGAACAGGAUUAGAUACCCUGGUAGUCCACGCCGUAAACGGUGGGAACUAGGUGUUGGCGACAUUCCACGUCGUCGGUGCCGCAGCUAACGCAUUAAGUUCCCCGCCUGGGGAGUACGG
rnacentral:rRNA from 1 species